UCUUCCGGGUUCCUUCACAGAAAGGUUCCUUACAGGAGUAAUGAAUAGUAACAGAAGCAUGCACUUCAAGUCUCUGCUUUCAGCAGCAAUAGCAGACAGGCAAGUCAAUGGCAGAAAGGGAGAAGAGCUGCAGAAGACAAGGCUGCAACUCGGUCCAGCAGCAGCUUGGCUUUUGUAUCCUCUCUUCCUUCUAAAAGGGUAUUUGGAAGUUAAGGGAAGUUCUAUGAUGACAGAAACAGCUGGCAGGAGGAGAUGGGAAUAACUAUAAAGAAGCAAUUUUCUUGUGAUGUUUGGUGGCUUCUGAAAACCCUGGAUGUUGGAGUCAAGUGAAGACAUGGGAAGUUUAACUUUCAUUUUUUUUUAAUAAUAAAGCAUACUUUUAUCUGUUGUGGUUGUGGUGGAUGCUUUAAAAUGUGACUGAAGCCUCUGAAGCUAAUUGGCAAAUAAAAAGACCUGCCCCAACACACUUUUCUUUGUUGUUUUUAAUUCUAUGAUUAGUGAAUGAUUGGGGUUAGUAAUCCCCAAUUUUUCUUACAAUUCUUUAUAAGAUUAUUAUUCUUUAUAACAUUAUUAAAGAAUUAUUCUUUCUUUAUUUAAAAUAUACUUUUCUUUCCAUGUUCUUGGUACAGAAGAGUUUAUAGCUCAGGUGUGAAGAUACUGUAGCUUAUGCAAAGUAAUUAAUUAUUUACAACAAAAAUUAAUAGGCUUGUGUUCUUUGCAUUUCUGAUACCAUAAUGAUCAACUGAGCAAAAGAACAUAAGCUGAAUAGAAAUAGAAUGGAGGGGGCAGGGAGGGUGAGGAAGAAGACAGAUCAUAAGACCAUCUUUUGAAAUAAUUAAUUCAACAAAAUCUCAGCUGUAUAAAUAGUACAAAUCACUGCAAGAUCUAAGAAUAUUAAAGUUUUAAAACUAUGUUGGAUUCCUUUAUGUAAUUUCAGAUUGCAUCUAAGAGCAGACUCUCAUGGAAAAUUGUUCUUUCACUGAUAGUUAAUUCACACAUUUUAAAGCGAUUUAUUCUCUGUCUUGGCAAAAACUGAUUCCACACUUUUUUCUGUCCCGAUUACAUGUGUUCUAAUGGCAACAGGAUUGAAGUAAAUGUUCAGCAUUGCUAUUUUCCUGUCAGGACCCAAAGAUAUUCAGUAUCUAUACUACUGUAGGCUGUGAGCGCUCAAAUGUGAAUCGAUUACUUCUAAGAAAAUUAUUUUCAGGUUACUUUUGUGGAGUUCUACAUGAAUAGUAGUUUUAGCAAUCCAGUGAAUCAAAACAGGAUUAGGCAUCAGCAAAACAGUUCUAAAAUGUCCUUUCUCUUACAAGAGGUGGUAUGGAUAUCAACCACUUGUAUUUGUCUAAUCUGAGCUAUAUUUUUUUGUGAUUGAACCUCAAGCAAGAGC